rnacentral:lncRNA from 1 species
GCCUUAUGGCCCUUCUACAAUGGUGUAAUGUCGAAGGAGAGAACUAAAAAAAGUCUUACUGAUGGGGUUGGAAUCUCAUCACUCUAUUGGGUGAAGAUGGUCAAUCCUGAGAUGAGGAAUACAUUCAGUUCCUUAUACACUUCAGUGUAAAGGAUUUCAGGGGCUCUGGGGCCCGAAAGAAAGAGCACGAAAAAAAAAAAAAAGAGUGAAGGUUGCCACUGGUAAUAAACAUAAUCUGUGUGGCCAUUUGGCUAAAACCCGAAUAUUUUUGGAACAUACUCUCUUUUACAAAAGAAGCUCUGCUCAGAACCCAAAGACCAGACCAGAGUUCUAGGUCUCAUGUGACCUACCGGUUUCCUGUGUGGAUGUCUCAUUUUGUUUUAAUGAUAUGGAAAUAAUCAAAACUUCUGCCUUCCCUGCCACUGGGAGAGCCCAUGUUCAGCAUGUGAACAUGAUUUGAACUAUACACAUGAAAGGAAUGAAUAAGUAAUAUUGUACUGGUUGUUUGGAGGGAGUUGUUUAGAAACUCCAUGCACUGUGGUUUAUUAUGGAGAAACACCUGCACCUUUUUUAUCUCUGUUCUUUGGACCAGUGACCCUUGAACUCUUUUCACAGAAACUCAUCUCAAGUGGGGCAAAAAGGCAUCCCUGCCUGUAAUCCCAGCAGGUAGGGAGGCUAAGGCAGGAGGAUCAAGGGCUCAAAGCUAGUGGCAAGGAGCUAAGCAACUUAGUGAGACCCUGUCUCUAAAUAAAAUAUAAAAAUAGGGCUUGGGAUGUGGCUCAGUGGUCAAGUGCCCCUGAGUUCAAUCCCUGGUACCCCCCCAAAAAAAAGGCACCCCUGUCCCAGGAUAUAAUCAAGAAAAUGUAGCCUCUCAGCAUCGCUAUGGUCUUAGAAGUGUUGACAGUCUUUUCAGCAUGUUGUCCUCAGCACACCACAGUGCUGCAUAAAUAGAAUUUCUGAAUCCAUUAUUAUUACUAUACAAUUGUGGUGAUCAUAUAUAUGUAUCCUCAUUUCUUCCUGACUCAUACUGAAGCAGAGACUGUACAAAUGGUACCUGGUUUGAGAUUGAACCAUCCAUACUUGGUUGAUUCCAAGUUUUCUGAGGAGAAGGAAUUGUUUAGUUGCUUAUUUCUUUUUUCCCAUAUUUUUGAAUUGGUGCAUUAUAGUUGUAUAUAACAGUGGGAUUUGUUGCUACAUAGUCAUACAUGCACAGAAUCUAACGAUAUAUUUUGGCCAAUUUCAUUCCCCAGUAUUUCCCCCUUUCCGCCCCUCCUCCCUCCCCUAGUCCUUUCCCUCUAUUCUAUUAAUCUCCAUUUGAUUUUCAUGAGACCUCCUACUUGCUUGUUUCUUAAAAUUAUUGGUUUGGUUUGUUUUCCUAACGACAAAGUGCCAAUCAAUUGUUUUCUAUCACCACCCAGCAGACUUAUCUUCAACCCAAUCAUUGUACAUUUAAGAAAAUGCAGUCUCACCAUAUCAAAAUGGUUUAUAAAUUCUGAUUUCACCGAGUUUCACAGUGCAUUCCAAAGCCAAGCAAGGAAGCAUGGUGGAUUAUCUACAUUUUUACAAUUGUAAUGCUUUAGCUUUCCUGGAUGAGGUGGCACACAUCUAUAAUCUCAGCUAAAUCAGAAGGCUGAAGCAAGAAGGUCCCAAGUUUGAGACCAGCUUGGACAACUUAGUGAGAUCCUGUCCCAAAAUUUAAAAAAAUGAAAAUAAAAAGUUCUGAGGAUGUAGUUCAGUGGUAGAGUGCUUACCUAGCAUGCAUGAGACCCCGAGUUCAAUAUAUUUGCCAUAUAUCAGUCAACAAGAUUCAUCUCUUUUUUCCCUUUGUAUUCUAAAAUGUACCAUCCUCCUUUCACUUUAACUGAAAAAAAAUCUUGUAAACAUCAGUGUGUAUUUGUGAUUUGCCAGUGAAUAAAAGUGUUGUGUUGUUAUUCAAUGGAAUAAUUAACAUAUGAAAUCCUAAUCACAGUGUUUGUUUCCCUGCUAAUGUUUCAUAUCAUGUUAGUAUAUUUAGAUAUUAAUGAAGCAACAGCCAUUUAAACAGCUCAACCCUGAAACAGAGACAGAACUUGGCAAAGACGUUUUUAGAGCAGUGGAAGCUCAUACCAGCAACCAGACUCAUCUCCGUUACAUCUCUCAAGCUCAUUGCCCAGGACUGUGUUCUUGUGUGCAAAUAAGCAGGGAACCACUAUACUGUGUCCAUGUUACCCAUUCGUUUUAAAAUGACCUUGUUUGUUUGAAAGUUUAUUGCUAUUUGCAUGGAGACUGUUUCUCUCUCAAUCCAAAAUUAAGGUAAUAAAUCAAUUGUAUUUGUGUCUUUUC